rnacentral:rRNA from 2 species
CUGAGGUGUGGCUCGCACCUGUCCAACUAAACUUGAGCUACCCUUUUACAACACGGUUGCAUCGGUCGGCCUGUCAAACAGCGCGCGCGAAUGUGCGUCUGGGCGACGAGUCGGCACUUUACACAAACACUUUUGAUAAUCUAGGAUUUGAAGGAAAAAAGUUUCAUUUUUACGAUGAAAUCCGACUGGUAAUGCGGUCGUCUAAAUCUAAAAACAACUUUUGGCAACGGAUCUCUUGGUUCUCCCAUCGAUGAAGAACGCAGCGAAUUGCGAUAAGUAAUGUGAAUUGCAGAAGUGAAUCAUCGAAUCUUUGAACGCACCUUGCGCUCCCGGCAGAUCUAAUCUGGGGAGCAUGCCUGUUUGAGGGCCGCGAAUUGUUUCGAACGUCGCCUUUUUUUCACGAAAAAGGAGACGGAUCGGUAGUGAGGGUUUUUGCCAUUUACCGUGGCUCCCUCGAAAUGCAUUAGCGCAUCCAUUUGAUAGGCAAAGACGGACGAAAGCUCGCCUUUUGGCCCUUUCUUCCCUGCCGGGUUUUGAUAAUAUCAGGACUUCGGAGACGAAGAAAGGGUCUGAGCUGGACGCAACGACUUUGCUGGUUGGCGUGCUUCUGAA